CAAGAUUAUGAGGAUAUUGGAAUUUCCACAUGAUGUUUGUAUACAAAAUUAUGACGAAGACCUGCUCUAUUUUUAAAAUGAAGGUAUAGUAGCUGACAUAUAGUGUACAUGUACCACUUGAAGAUUUGUCCCCCUUGUAGAUACAAGAAAUGCAAAGUGUACACAGAUACAUACACAUAAAAGGAGACAUCACCUCAUGAUCUGUGGAUCCAUUGAAAACUUUAAGGACAAAACUUUUGAUAAUUCAUUCAUGUAUAGAGUGUUGACUCGAAUAUUGAAUAUCUAAUGAAUGGAACCAAGAGAAUUAAUUUAAGAAGUAUUAUAUUGUAUAUUACUCUUUUUAUUCAUCUGUCAAAUUUCUUAAUUAAAAAUUAAACUUAAAGGCUUAAAUAAGGAUUUUUUUUAUUAUUUUAAUUAGAACAAGUUCUUUAAUUUAUUUUUCUCUUAUAUAAACGGGCAUUUAAGGUCAUACGCAACGUAGUUUGCACUUUAUUGGGUUCUUCCCUGGAGUUGAAGAGUUCCACUAAAUGAAGGACCUGUGUGCAAUAUUUUUAUUGUCUAUAUAUGGAUUUGUAAAUCUCUUCUAAAACAAUUUUGAUAAAAAAAAUCUGGAAUUUAUGUUUUGUAAUUUUUGUACAUUUUUCUUUGAAUAAUGCAAAAUUUUUCAAACUUUAAUAUCUUUUCAAAAUCCCUGGAAAUGCAUGCUGAUUUUUUGUUUAAAAAUAUGUUAUAUGGUACAUGUAUUAUAAGUUUAAAUUUAGAAUAUCUUGAAAAAUUAUCAGUAGGUAAGGUAUCUUGCGUAUGUCCUUAAAUGUAAAAUGAAGGUAUGUGUACCUUUAUUCAAUGAACUAGGGAACUCAUGAAGUGUGCAUAUUUAUAUAAUAGUGUUGUAUUUUGCAUGCACUAUUCUUAAAAAGUAGUCAGGGUUUGACACAUGGUGCACAAGCCGGAGGCUUUAGGUAUAAUGUACAGAUAGUUUUAGAGAAUAGUAGUUGAGUGAUGGGGGCAAUUGCAAGAAACUAUUUUAGAAGAA